UCUCUCGAGAUGUAUUAAAGCUGUACUGCAGAAGGAUCCGAGUGGCCUGCGUGCGUUUUGCUGGCGAGACGGUAGCGUGGGUCAUCUGGUUGCCAGAAUCCCGGGAAUUAACAUCAUUGGCGUUUGGGAGAAUCCCCGGAGACGGGGUGGAUUCAGAACUGCAGGGAAAAGAAUUGGACCAUAGAAUUUGAACAGACACUCCGGGAGCUGAAGAUCGCUGUCUUACAAGUCAAUUCGACACGUCUUGACCUGUCAUUGAUGGAAGGAUAUUCUACCUGGAUUUCUGCAGCAUUCUCCUACUUCAAGAAAUGGGUGGGGGUGGAUUUGUUUGGAGUGGCUGUGUGCGGUGGAGUACUGCUCCUACUAUGGAUGAUCUGCAAACUUAAAGCCCAAACAAGGAGGGACAGGAUGGUAGUAACCCAGGCACUUGUUGCUUUGGAGCAUGGUGCCUCCCCCGAUAUAUGAUUAUGGAUACUUAAGCAAUAGGUCGCUGGCCGCUCAGCUCUUGCACCCCACGAGGCUAGUCUCAUUGCACGGGAUAGAGUGAGUGUGCUUUAGCAACCUGUGAGAGUUGUACGGCUAAGCACUGCAGUAGAAAGUCUCUGCGGCAUAAGAUGAGCCUAUUCUAGGGAGACAUGUCAUCUUGUAUGAAGGUUGAGUGUCCAAGUGUCCUUCCUCCAGGAAAAACGACACAGGAGCGGACCAAAACCCCUCCGGGUGACGAGCCUGGGAGGAGGUUUUGUGUAAGGCCCCUAUGCUUGCACACUGGGGAUUUGACCUCUAUCUCCACUCUCAGUACUGGGUGGCCUGUUGCUUCUAAAAUAAAAGAAAAGGGGGAGAUGUGAGGAGCUGCCUUCACAGUCGCCAUUACAAGAUGGCGCUGACAUCUGUUGCUCAUAGUAAAAUGUGCGCAGGCGUCAGGGUAUCGUUUCAUUACCUGAGCCCUGCCUUUCUUGUGGCGUUAACUGACUGAUAGUGGGCAGCCAAUCCCAGAGGUGCAUGUCUCCAACCGUUUUUUCGCAGCCUAUAAAAGGGAAGGGUUUUCUGCUCUCUGGGUCUCCUCUACUGAAGCUGAUCAUCUAUCUCUCGAGAUGUAUUAAAGCUGUACUGCAGAAGGAUCCGAGUGGCCUGCGUGCAUUUUGCUGGCGAGACGGUAGCGUGGGUCAACCCUCCAUGUCACAAGUGAACAUUCUGAUAGAGUACACACCUGUGUUUAAUAUAAUUCCAAAUGUCUACAACUUUCUUUCUUUUGAGAAGCAGUAAUUUGUAACAAAAAGUUCAAAUGUGUACCAUGAUUGCCAUUUUCAUUGUACAGGAUUGGUUAAUGUUAAUGGCUGAAAAUUCAUUACAGUUUGCAUUAAUAUAUGCCCCCAAUAAUAUAGAUAGAAUACAAUUAUUUAAUCAUUAAUCAAAGAAAAACACAUGUUAAGAAUAAGAAUUAUUUUAUUCACUUCUGCAAUGUCCAUCAUUCUAUUAUAGUCCUGAUGUUUUUAGUAUUUCCCAACAUAACCCAUAUAAUGAUAUGUCUCUCAUUUUCUCUCAUUCAGUCAAUGUUUUUUGCUGGCUUGUUGUUGUUGUUGUUGUUGUUGCUUUGUUCUUUUCUUAAUAUAACUUGCUGUUUUUCUUGGGUUUUGCAUUGUUUGAAUUUUGCAGAAAAGUAUUAUGUAGAUCUUAUGAACUGCUAAUUAAGGCAGAGAUCAACAAGUAUAAAAUACCUAAAUACCUA